AACCGCCGUAUACGAGACCCGUACGUACGGUGGUGUGAGAGGCUUUCCCCGUCAGUUUCUGCUGGCGGGGCAGUCUACUCGAU
rnacentral:autocatalytically_spliced_intron from 1 species